CCUACGGGUGGCUGCAGUCGAGAAUCUUCCACAAUGGACGAAAGUCUGAUGGAGCGACGCCGCGUGAUUGACGAAGUGGUUCGCCACGUAAAGAUCUUUUAUGAGGGAAGAAGUUUAUUGACGGUACCUCAUGAAUAAGGGGCUCCUAACUCUGUGCCAGCAGGAGCGGUAAUACAGAGGCCCCGAGCGUUAUCCGGAAUUAUUGGGCGUAAAGGGUGUGUAGGUGGCGUUGUUAGUCGUUUGUGAAAGAUCCGGGCUCAACCUGGAAAACGCGAACGAAACGGCAAUGCUUGAGUGAGGAAGAGGUAAGCGGAACUCAUGGUGUAGGGGUGAAAUCCGUUGAUAUCAUGGGGAACACCAAAAGCGAAGGCAGCUUACUGGUCCUCUACUGACACUGAAACACGAAAGCGUGGGUAGCGAAUGGGAUUAGAUACCCCUGUAGUC
rnacentral:rRNA from 1 species